rnacentral:rRNA from 1 species
UUACAGUGUUCUCUGCCCUCACGGGUAGAAACGCCCACCCUUGUAUAUCUAUCUUUGUUGCUUUGGCAGGCCGCCCCUGGGCACCGGCUCUAGCUGGAUCGCGCCUGCCAGAGGAAACCCCAACUCUGAAUGUUAGUGUCGUCUGAGUACUAUCUAAUAGUUAAAACUUUCAACAACGGAUCUCUUGGUUCUGGCAUCGAUGAAGAACGCAGCGAAAUGCGAUAAGUAAUGUGAAUUGCAGAAUUCAGUGAAUCAUCGAAUCUUUGAACGCACAUUGCGCCCCGUGGUAUUCCGCGGGGCAUGCCUGUUCGAGCGUCAUUUAAACCAAUCCAGCCUGCUGGGUCUUGGGCCUCGCCUCUGGGCGGGCCUUAAAGUCAGUGGCGGCGCCACCUGGCUCUAAGCGUAGUACUUCUUCUCGCUACAGAGUCCUGGGCGGAGGCUUGCCAGACAACCCCUAAUUCUCAAAGGUUGACCUCGGAUCAGGUAGGGAUACCCGCUGAACUUAAGCAUAUCAAUAAGCGGAGGAAAAGAAACCAACAGGGAUUACCUCAGUAACGGCGAGUGAAGCGGUAACAGCUCAAAUUUGAAAUCUGGCUCUUUUAGGGUCCGAGUUGUAAUUUGUAGAAGAUGCUUCGGGUGUGGCUCCGGUCUAAGUUCCUUGGAACAGGACGUCAUAGAGGGUGAGAAUCCCGUAUGUGACUGGCUGCCUUCGCCCAUGUGAAGCUCUUUCGACGAGUCGAGUUGUUUGGGAAUGCAGCUCUAAAUGGGGUGGUAAAUUUCAUC